GAGGAGAGGGGCGGGGGUUAGUGGGGGGCGGGUGGCUCCCCCCCGGGCACGGCUCCGAGCAGAGGCUUACUGACGGAAACCAAGCGUUACCAAUGGGGACCGUGCCCGGCGUCAUAGGAGAGGGUCAUUACACUCCUCUGCGCCACAGAGCACUGGCGGACCAACACCAGAACCAUGGUCCACAUCCGAUCAGCCCUGGGCCUGGGCUGUCCCAGUCUUGCACAUAGAGCCACCUGCACCAGCAGCCCCCCAAUAUCGAGUCGCACUCACUCACCACGCUGUUGCAGAACCGAAAGGCAAGAGAGGAGCAGCUGAGAAACAUGCAUCAAACUCCAUGAGCCACAUGCCAGAUGUCUUCUCUCAUCACCUUCACAUCAAACACAAACCACCCUAUUAUCCAGUUCUCCUGUUGCCUGAGAACAAAACGCACCUGCCUGAAGCAGCUGACUGAAACUGGUCUUUGGCAAGAUGGACAAUUAUGUAAGUGUGGGAAGAUACUCAAAAGAAAUGGCCAUAACUACAAAAGUCAUCCUCACCCGAAGAAGUCUUCAGUGUAAUCAAAAAGGCAGUUCAUGGCUUGGGGAUUCUUCUGGACUCUGCUUCUUCUGGGUACACAAAUAACUAUAAUGGUUAGAAAUGCCUCUUAUUAGCUCCAAGUGCUCAGGGGAUGCAUUCAGUCGUAUUGUAUAGAAAUCGGGCCAUGCUGAUGUAUUCCAAUGCAUUGUCCCCGGCGUUGAAAGUAAAGGCUUUGCACUCUAGCUGGUCAAACAUGGAGUGACUUGUCUAUUAACAUAGAAUGGGUGAUACACGCACAGCAAUCCAAUGCUCCAAAACCUACAAUGACUCCCUGUCCAAAACUAGAUUCAAUUCAAAAUCCUGGUCUUGAUCUUCAAAUCUCUGAGUGAGGUGAACCCAGAUGAUCUCAGGCAUUUUUCUCUGAUUUAUUACAGCAAUUACAUUUGCAAGGGACAAGGUCAGUAGCAAGGAUUACACUUGCUGCAGGAGCAAGAGGCUGACUAAUGGCUGUGGAAUGCCUUUCCAUCAAAAAUGGUAAUGACCAUGGUUUGCAACUUUCAGACACAAAUGUAAGACUCAUUUCUUUGCAAUUGCUUUCCAUAAAAAUAGCCUUAAGAUUCUGCAUUGCUUCCCUGAACAUAACAAAUAAUGUAAUUAAAAACUAUUUAUGCAUACUUUGAACAAAAAAGAAUAAUGAAGAGUGGAGGAUACAGUGUUCUAGAUGGACUGUUUUAUGUAGUUUUGUUAGUGCCUGGAUAUCAUGGUGAUGUCAGAUAAACUGCUAUAGAUUUCUACACAGAAGAUUACCCUAGAUAUUCUUUGCCAUGGUGAAAUAUGAAAAAUACAGGCAGACUUUUAACAAAUAAAGAAUCACGUAUCACAAACUAUAAUAAUCUGGAGACAAACAGAAAUCCAGAGAUGAACAUUUGUGCCAACCACGUAGAAACAUUAAAACUGAAAGUAAUUUCUACUUCAGUGUGCACCAUACAAAGAAGUAUAAGAAAGAUAUUUCCUCAAAUUAACAACUAUAGAAUGAGAUUUUCCUAUUAAAAUAGAGAACAAAACCCAGACAUAAUUCUGAACAAAAAGAAAGAGAUGGCAUUUGGUAGAAAUAGUAUCACAAUAUGUAGUGAACUUCAACCAGUAAGACCUAAUUCCAAUGUAGGUAUUUAAACUGGGCUCAAUUUUGCUAUCUGUUACAUAUGUGCAAUACAGGAAUUGCACCUGCAUAACAGAGGAAAGAACAGAACACAGUCUUCCCAUGUAACAUUUUCUGCAUUUUCAGUUGGAUACAGUAUGCUUCAUUUCACUAAAUAUUCCUUGCAGCUGCUUAUAGGCCAUCCAGAACAGGGGAGGAGGAGCCACAGACAAAUAUUUCUUUUCACUGUCUCAAAGACUAGUCUUAACAACUAUAGUGAGGUGGUUACUGCUCUGUAUGGGGUAUCUUAUUGAUCACAUCCAGAAACAAAGUGUGAAAUGAAAGCUUUGUCUGACAAGAUGUUCAGUGGAAAAGGUAAAUCUUCGGUACUUACUGGAUUUAUCCUCAUCAGUCUUGAAAUGAUUGUUUCAGCUAACACAGGUUUCUCUAUAUCCAUAUAUAAUGUGACAUCAAGAAACAUUUAUCUCAGAUGGUCCAAGUUUUCAGGAGCCUUUUCCUACAGAAUCACAGCAACCCCCAUGAACACAGUAGGCCACCCUUUGUUGGCGCACUUCAAUGAUGUUCCUGUUAUAGGCAUUCUUACUUCACUAACUCCCAACACUGUCCACACUGUAAAAGUGGAAGCCAUUGAUAAGAAUGGAAUUAUCCUGGCGGAAGCACAGAUUAUGCAGUUAACAGCUCCUGAGAUACCUGCUAUUGACCAAGCUUAUUCAAAACUGAGCAACAGUAUCACAGUGGAAUGGGCAGCUGUUUCUGGGGCUACCAGUUAUUUACUGACUGCACAGGACGGAGAGUCUUUCAUUGAAACUAUAGUCAUAAAUUCACCAGGCACAGUGACAGGAUUGAAGGCUGCUACAUUGUACAAAAUCACCAUCAUAUCUAUAAACUCUGGAGGAAGAAGCCUACCUUCGCCUUCAAAGAAGGCAAAGACAGUCUUGGCUGCUCCGGUCCUGUCUGUAAGUUCUCCAAGUUACGACUCCAUAGUUGUGAGCUGGGGAGCUGUAUAUAUGGCAGUUGGAUUCUCUGUGUCCAUCAUGAGAUCAGAUGGUUUAGGCAGUAUGAUGAAAGAGAACACCACCCAUACCUCCUUGGUAUUUACCAGUCUAGAUCCAGGAACUCUCUAUACCAUCAAGGCACAUGCCUGGAAUGUUAAUGGGAUACCUGGAGAUGAUUUCACAUACAACCAAAUAACAAGUCCUCAUGCACCAUCAGAUGUUCAAGUUGCUUUUGAUAGUGGAACUUUGAGGGCUACUGUUUCUUGGAUACCGACAGAGGGAACUUUAAAUUACAGUGUGACAGCCAGCAGUGGAGCCUCCAAACUGAACUGUAGCACAUCUUCCACUUCCUGCACUUUGUCUUCACUCCAGUGUGGUUUUGAAUACUCUGUUUAUGUCAUAGCAAAUAAUGGUGCUGGAUCCAGUAAACCUACAGAUGCAGUGAGUUUAAAAACUGUCCCUUGUGCACCAGGAAGUAUAACAAUAGAAGAGGACAACCCUGGUAAAUUGUCAGUCUCAUGGUCUAAUGUAGAUCUUGGAGAUUAUUAUGUGGUUUUUGUGAAAAGCGAUGAUGGCUUGGAAGUGCACUGCAACACAUCCCAUACCCAAUGCCACUUCCAAUCAGAUUGUGGUUUCACUUAUUUCAUUAGUGUCUUCGCAUAUAACAAGGCAGGACAGAGUCCUUUAGGGGAUGUACUCAAUUAUACUACUGCACCUUGUUGCCCCAGUGACUUUUACCCAGUGUUUGUGUCCAGCGAUACAGUUGAGAUUGUCUGGUUUCCUGUCCGUGGUGCUGAAAUGUAUGAAACAAAAGCUGUUGAUGGGGUUGGUGUAGUAUUGUGUAAUACUACUGCCACAAUUUGCAUCCUGUCUGCGUUGCAGUGUAACACCCAAUAUAACAUCACUGUGUAUUCUUACAGUGAAAUCAGGGGCAGCAAUACAUCAUGUGUAUCUAAAUAUGUGGCAACAGCUCCAUGCAGUCCUGAAAUAAAAAACGUCUCACAGGAUGAUCUUUCCAUAAUUACUGUGCACUGGCAGGCCAAUAAUGAUGAAACUAUAUACACUGUUACUGCUAGAGGAGAGGCUGGAUUGUGGCAUUGCACAAGUUCCGGAAAUUCCUGUAGCAUAACUGAUCUUCCCUGUGGAUCAGUUUUCUCGGUUAGUGCUGUGGCAAUUACAACAGCAGGACAGAGCUUACCUAGUUACAGUGUCCCUUUAGAGACAGCUCCUUGUUGCCCUAAUGAUCUGACAGUAACUCAAGUGAUGCAGUCUAUAACAAAUAUCAGCUGGUCGGUUGGGGCUGGUGCAAAGACAUACAUAACAAUACUGGAAUCACCAAAAGGACCGGCUAAGUGCCACACUUUUCAAAACCACUGUCUCCUGGGAUGCAUUACAUGUGGCACCACCUAUACAGUGUCCCUGAAAGUGAUUAGUGAAACUGGUUUGGCCUCAGACUGCACAUAUCAAGACUAUUCUUCCAGUGCUUGCUGUCCUUCUGGGGUGAAAUUAUAUAGACUGCGCAAUAAUGGUAUCCGAAUAUACUGGCGAGUUUCGCCAGGGUUGAUAAAGUAUAGUACAGAUCUGUACGGAUCAAAAGGCAAUUUCACCUGUACCCCUACUUCAGGUUUGAGUUAUUGUGAUGUCACCAAGAUACCUUGUGGGGAUGUCUAUACAGUGGUAGUUUCUCCAGUUCCUGAGAAAGGAUCAAAGCUUGCAUUUUGCCCUAAAAAAAUGUAUUCAGUGACCUGCUCAGGAAGUUCUGUUGGAAUGGGUAUGAGAAUGCUGUCAUCAUUUCAUCUCUCCUGAAAAUGGUGUUUCUAUGAUCUAUAGAGGAAAGAGAAGUCCAGAACAACAUUUUUCUGGAUAGAAUCAUUGGUUCAGACAAGCAGAAUACAGCUAUGCAACUCCAUUGGGCACAUGAAUCAUCACUUCAGGUCACUUACACAAAGCAAUCAGAUGGAACAUUCUGACACUUCGUAACACCAGUACUAAAAUAUUGUCUCUUAACAAAAAGGAUUUUUGUUCACUGUCAAAUACAAGUUUCCCUCUUUAGGAAUUUUUUUUUUUUAAAUAAAUGAAUUGCACUACUUACUAAGAAGCAGCUGGUUUUUAUUUCCAAUUUAGGGUUUGAAAAAGGUAUGAGAAUGUAGAAUUUAGUGUUCUGUUUGCAACUGCCCCCAAACAAGGUUUUAAUGCAGUAGGUUUCUCUUUAUAGUCAUAACAGCAUUUUCAAACAUGGAUCCCUAAACUUAGUCAUGUACAUAGAUGGUCUUGAGCCUGCUUUUCAGGUCCUAAGCAAUCAGUUUCUAAUGAGGUCAGGGCCAAACGUGGGCUGUAGCUUUUAUCUGACAUACAAACAACUAAUUGGUACACUAAUUGUAAGUGAAUAACUUUAUGAUGGUCCUUGAUAAAAUCAAAUUAAUUACAUUGAAUCAAAACAACCAGCUGCAUAAGAUUUGCAUAUCUUAAUUACAUAUCAGCCCUCAUUAAACUCAAGCAUACUUAAAAGACUGUUUAAGAGAAAAUGAACUAACUUUAAUUAGAAUUAAAUAUGUAGGUUUUGAAUAGCUACAAACAGCAACAUAAUUGCACCCAGUUGUAUAAACAUACUCUAAGAAAUGAUGAUUACUUACCUGUAACCAGAGUUUUUCCAAGAUUGAAUAAAUGUAGAGACUUACUCCCCACUCACAUUAACUCCUAAUUAAAUCAGACUUGCCGCAGCUAGGGCACAAUGCAUCCUUUUAUAGCCCUGCCUUCAGAACUUUCAGGAAUAUCAAAGGGGGGGAGAGGGCACUCAGGUACCACUGUUAAAAGGUUCCACCAUCAAGGCGUCCUAUGACUGGAAAUAUGCAGAUUCCAUCUCUAACAACUAUUGUAUAUAACCAUUGGGUUUGGGGGUUUUUCACCCAGCGCACACACUAUGAAGUCCUCAUCUACUGUGUCCCAUUCUUUCUAUCUGUUGCUUCUAUCUAUUAUAGAAGGGCAGUAUAUAUAUCUGCAAAACCUCUUGCUAGAGUAGGCCCCAAUACUGAAAGAUUACCUGAGCCCCACUGAAGUCAGUGGGGUUCUGUGCAAUUCAUUUUAGUAAAAUCUAGGCUUUUCAAGACAAAAUUGGCAGGGUUCACCAAACCAUUAACCUACAUUUGGGGGAGGGAGGAAGAGGGAUGGUUAAAGAAGCCAGGCAUUUGAAUGUGUCUGCCAUAUCUUCCAAGAAUAGAAUACAGAAGUACAGACAGUGGGACAAAUCUUGCUCACUUAGCACUAUUCACAUGAAUAAAUUAAACAGUUGGCUCCUUGUUGCUCCACAUUACUUGCACUUUGUGGUUCUUUAUACUGUAUAAACACACAAGGUUUUUCUUCUUGCCCUUUUACAGCAGAAAUUUAGUUGAGUCUAGAAGACUUUUUGAUAAUGGGACAACCAGUACAGGAUUAGGGCAUCAUAAAUACAUAGAAAAUGAAACCCAAUGGGAGUGAUCUUUAUUCAAGCCACAUAAAACCAUUUGCCUUUAACAGCAAUUUAAAAUACACUUGAGGAAAAAAAGAAAAAAAAAGAUUUAAGGUUUCAAACACUCACCCUAAAUGUUGAGUAAGCUCCCACUCCAUGCUUCUGAGAUGUCCCAAGAGGUCCUCCAGUGAAAACAAAGAAUUUAUAUUCCAGCUAUUUACCAAACCAGCUGAAAUACAACAAACUAAAGUAGUGGGAGUUAACACUGGCUGUGUCCCAUUCCACACAUGGCAGGACAGCCCAGGCUUAGCUAAUGCGGCCAAUGGAAACACAGUUCCUUGAGAAGUCAUGGUGCCAGUAAGGUGGCACAAAGAGUUAAGUCUGUAUAUGGCUAAAUAAGAACUGGGUAUUAAUGUGGGCUUGUAAUUUUGAUUCCUUUGGGUUCAGCUGGGUUUGGAGAACCUGCAUUUUCCAAAACCAUUCCCCUUUUAAGUGAGGUAUUAAUCAGAAGCAGUACCAUAUUUGCUUUGCAGAAUUGUAUUGCCCUCCUUCCUUUUCUCUUCCACAGGUUUUACCAGGGAAGGGUAUGAUACUGCAUAAAGGACAGGAGGAUUUAUCUGUAGUAUGUUUAUCUAUUAUAGGUUUGGCAAGGGUUCAACUUCUAUACCUUUCCCCUAUUUACAUUAACCAUUAUACUAGGUGGCAUCUCAUCUACUGGAAGAACUGCUUGAAAUUUACUACUUGCCACACAUAUGUAAGAAAUUACUGCAUUAAGGGAUUUAACUCUAGGCAUUUAGACCACACUAAUCACUGAAUUUUUAACUGAAAAAUACUAUGCUUAUUGUAUACAGCACUAUGCUGAUACUCUCAGAGGAGAAAAUUCCCCAUCAUUACUGGACACCAAUCACUAGACUAGACAAACAGCAACCUCAGACUUAGAAGAGAAUUCUUCCCAAUUUUCUUCAGCCAGAGGGAUGCCAACUGAAAAACAGGGUUCUGAGCACAUGGGAAUCAAGUCAUGAAAACAGAAAGCUUUUCAGACAUCACUUUCUCUUUCACUUCCAUCCUCCCAGAUACACACUUUUUGCAUUAAUAAAGUAAAAGUUCUAUGGUAUGGCAUGCCAGGUCAAGAUUCUGAAUUUAAGUGUAAUGCUUGUUCUCAUAUGCUCAGCUACCAAAAUGGCAGCUGAGAGCUAUUGCCCAACUAUAGUCUUCUUGCAUUUGCUGGUGGUCUGCAGAGGAGACUCAGAGGGUGACAGCUCUUAAGUAUCAUUAAGACUACUAAAAUAUACUUAACAUUUUUUUCCAUGCAUGAAAACUUUAGUUGGCACAAGGUGAUUACGAUCACAUGUGGAAGGGGAGAUUAUCCCUAAGAAUCUCUACUAAAAUGUGAAUCCAAAAUCUGAGAAAUGAAAGAGAACGCAUGAGGCUGCACUUUUAGACGUUUGGGUAUAUUUGCAUGUUCGCUUGAAAGCAAAAGUUGAGGAUUUUAUUCACUUUCACAUGGAAGAUUGUUACGGCUCACGGUUACAAAGGAUAUAGUAAUUCUCUGGCAAUGAAUCAGCAUGCAAUGUUGUUAAGUUACAAAGCAGCAUAGGUUUUCACCUCUGGAAACUUAAGCCACUAAUUUUCUUCUGGCUACAGCCAAACCAUCCACAAAACUUUUAUCCACCAUAUAAACUAUCCAACUCACUACGAUUGAGAUAAUCUACACAGAAGAAUCACAGGACUACAACAUUAGGAGCAAAGCAGCAGUGGCCGAGUUGUGGAAGAGGCACCAUAGACCUACCUGCUCCUUGAUCACCUAGUGUUACCAGUUUUUCACUAAACUACGUAACCUCAGUCUCCUUAUUUUCAAACUUCAUCCACUUGUUUUCAUUCAUUACAUCGUAUCUCCAGUCCGACUGUAAGCUCCACAGGGCAGGGCAUGUACUUGUCAGAAGUACCCACCAUAAUAUGUCUGUAUUACUGAAUGGAAUUUGAAGUGUCACAUUAUUUAACCAAAUAUUAACAACAGAAAUCUGGUCUCAAUCAGCACAGCCAAGGAGGAAAAUAAAUGGAAAGAUGUGUUAACAGACUUAUCUACUAAGCCCCGUAUCCAAUUCACUAAGAGAAGUAAAACUUUUUGCAAAGAACCAGGCAACUACUGAGAUCAGUAUAAAUGAGGAGUAACAGUCAAUCAUUUAAAACCAAGUAUCUGAACUACCUUCUACAUUUUUGUUGCUAGCCCCUCCCACCCCAUAAAGCAAGUAGAAACUAAAGUAAUCAAAAUUGCAAAUAAGACGCUGAUCAGACAUUCAUUUUCUGAUAGAACACAUUUGGGGCUUAUUGUUUGUUUUUAAAGCAAGAGGAAAAAAUAGAGGGCAACAGCAGUCUGGGUUUUCUACUGCAGUGGAUACUCUCGCACCCCAUACAAGUUUCUCCCCAAACUCCAAUUUUAAGCGCAAUUACCUAUCGGUUUAAAAAAAAAAAAGUCACGUAAGGGAGUAGUACCUCAAUAGUAGAAAGUGUUUCUCUACUGCUGGGGGGAAAACCAGGAAGAACAACAAUACAUUUAGAAUUAAAGGUGACCAGAAGAAAAAAAAUUGAGCUUUGCUUCUUUAAUACAGAAACGAGCUGAUUUUUUUCCUCCAAAAUAUUUUCUUUUUGCCUUAGUAAUUCAGGCACUCGCUAUUUAUUCUGCAAGAUCAGGAACAAGUAGAAAGUUGUUUUACUACAGUAAAUUAAUUUAACUAGAUUUAUUGACAUACUAUGAAAGAAAGGAGAGGGAAAGUGACUACAUUAAACACUUGUUUAAACUUAAUACCUAGAAGUGCUACAUCGUACAAAAGCAAAGGGGAGGGGACGACACAAACCUCUUUUCUUUCACCUUCAGGUCACUCCAACCACCAAUGAUCCACAUUUCAAUAGUCUUAAACCCUGAGUUAACCAGAUUAGUCUUUAUACGUUGACCUAUUAUUUUGAAGUCCCGGCCCAUACAUAGUAUCAUUUCCCUUUAGAUCAAGGCAUAAAGAAAUCCACAAACAUUUUUUCAACUGGCAAUGAACAUACGGGGAAAAGCUGACACCCAGCACAAAGGAGUUAAUCCAGUGUUUAUUCCAGACUGAUGGUUCUCCUCACUCAAUAUACAAGACAUCAGAACAACCUACCAAGCAGAACUGGACUUUUAUUAUAUGAUUUUUCAAUAGUGCAUUUUGGUAUUACCUCCUACUAGCUAAUCUGUU